rnacentral:tRNA from 1 species
GCAUUCGCGGUGUAAUGGUCAGCACACGUGACGCGUAAUCGAGAGAUCCGAGGUUCGAGUCCCGGCGAGGGCA